rnacentral:lncRNA from 1 species
GGGACAUAAGCUACUGUGAUAUAAUAGAGUGUGUAAUGUGGUGAGUGUCAUAAAGACACACAAAUAAAGUGCUGUCAUAGGAGAGAAUGAUCAUUUUGAGUUUGGGGAUACAGGGAAGGUUUCAGGGAGGGGCUGAAAUAGCUACACUUUCAGCAAGAGAAGGGUGCGGGGAAUUUGGGAACGAUAGGAGCAAAGGCAAGACAGUGGUGGGAAGGGCAGCUAUGUUCCAGCACCAGUGGGUAAACCUGGGCAGAGGUCGUUGCGUGUGGUUUCGAGAGCAGUAAGACGGAAGGUCUGAUUCCGGUUAGAUGAUGUGCAGCCUUGAAUGGCAGAGUUGACUCUCAUGAUGGAAAUUAAUCAGAAUGAAUCUGUGACUUCUCCUUUAUAAUACCCACAGAACUAAGGGAUUGGCAAAUCAGAGUGGAACCUAAACGCUGGAGAAUAGAACCAGAUAAAUCUAAAGCAGAGUUAAGUUUAUUCUUACCCUCUCCCGGUAAAUUGGUGACAGUUUUUUAAUAUUUAAUACUGAAUGAUCAGACUUCUGGAACAGUGUUUCUGUCCUGAUAGUUUACACUCUUUGUGGUUUAUGCAAAGGCCCCUAUAUUUCUGCCCCAAUUGGCUCCAUGUGGAAAAUUACGACUAAUACUUACCCUUUGGGAAUUAAUUGCUUG